UUUCAAAAAGGACUUGUUUAAUACAUUGGAAUUUUAAACUGCAAUUCCUGAAGAUGCCGUUAAUCCUGUUCCAAACUUUGAUCUACUGUUGUGAUAUCUUUGGAUCCUGAUUUCUCUGUUUUACUUUUGAACUUUUCAAAAAGCCUCACUUCAAAUCUCUGACUUCCCCUACAUGCAUCCUUGCUGUGAUCUUUUAAAGCAGGUAAACUGAGCUUGAAUAUUACAAAGAAAUUGAGUCAUGGAGUUUUACCCAAGUUCAGGUGAUUGCAUCAAUUCCCCGAACUAGUCACCUCUAACUGUAUCCUGUUAGCAGAUGUGCCUGAAGCAGAGGCUUGAAAGUGCCUGCAUGCUUCUGAUUGGUCU
ensembl:lncRNA